rnacentral:lncRNA from 1 species
GGUACUACUAGUAGCAUUAUGCUCAGAAUAGGAUAAUAAUAACAAGAUAGAGACAUUUGUUUCUUAGUACCGGUAGGUAGUAGAAUAUAUAUACAUCAGCUAGCAGUAUCUUACAGGGCAGUUGCAGAAGAGAAAAUAAUAAAAGGCUAACGAAAUAAUAACUGGGAACGAACAAAAAGAAGGCAAAAACAUCACGGUCGUCACCUGGCACGUCCAUAUAUAAAGUCUACUACUACUAGGUAAUUCAUCACUUGCUAGUUGCUCAUCAGGAUAAGCGUACGUGCGUGCGUGGUACCAGGCCAGCGAGCCGACCGGUAGCGACAACGCCUCUAGGCAGCUAGCGGCGCGCGCGCGCACGUACGUAGGCACGCUGCGUCAUCACGCCGCCGGGCGUCGCGGCCUCGGCGUCACGGCCAGCGGGGCCGCCAUCUCGCACGACAGCCUCAGGGUCUCCCCCAGGUUGACGCCGCGCGCCGGGUCGGGGGAGGGCAGGAACUCCAGCUCGUGCAGCAGCGUCGCCAGCCAGAACGCCACCGUCGCCAUCGCCAGGCUCUUCCCGGGGCAGCUCCUCCGCCCGGCCCCGAACGGCGCCAGGCGGAGGUCUGACCCCAUGACGGAGAGCUCGGCGGCCGGCUGUCCGGCGACGAACCGCUCCGGGCGGAACUCGUCCGGCUCGGCCCACACGUCGGGGUCGUGGGUUAUGGCCCACAUGUUCACCAUGGCUGUGGUGCCAGCGGGGAUGAGGAACCCGUCAACGUGAAUGUCCGAGGUGGCGAGGCGGGCCCAGGAGAGCAGCGGGCCGGGCGGGUGAACGCGGAGUGUCUCCUUGAUGACGGCGUGGAGGUAGGGGAGGGAGGCGGCAUCGGACUCGGUCACGGCGCGGUCGGGCCCCACCGCGCGGUCCAGCUCCUCGUGCACCCGCGCCUGCACGUCCGGGUGCAGCACCAGCCGGGCCAGCACCCACUCCAUCAGCACCGCCACUGUGUCGGUCCCGCGGAACACCAUCUCCUGCACACCAAAGAUGAACGUAUCAGAGGCCUGGAACGAAACGAAACGUGCGUGGCUGUGUACGCUUGGGAGUUGGUUUGGGUUCGGUUGCACACACCCAGAGCACCGCGAUCAUGUCGGCGUCGGCGAGCCUGUCGCCGCCCUGGAGGGAGAGCAGGACGUCGGUGAAGUCCUUGACGGCGGCGGACGGAGCGGCGGAGCGGUGGUCGUCGAUGAUGCGGCCGACGAAGCUGUUCACGAGGGGGACGAGACGGGAGCACCGGGCGCGUGUGCCCUGCGGGUCGAAGCGGGCCAGCCAGGGGAGGUGGUCGGACCAGUUGAGCUGGCCCAGCAGGUCGUAGCCUUCGUCCACCAGGUGGCUCAGCUCGCGGACCUCCUCGCUCUCCUUGCCGGUGCCCAGGUCGUAGCGGCGGCCGAACACGGACCACAUCACGUUGUGCAGCGACGCGCGCCGCAGCACGCGCCGGACCUCGACGCCGGCGCCGGCGCUAGCGAGGGCUGCGACCAUCUGGUGCGCGAUCACAGCGCGCUGGGGAGCUGACGCGGUGACCUGCCACGGGGAGAAGAGGUGCGUGGAGGCGACGCGGCGGAGCGCGCGCCAGUACGCGCCGUGGGGCGCGAAGCCGAUGGCGCGGUGGAACAAGAGCCCGUACGCCGACUCCUUGAUGGGGCGGUCGGCGAAGGCCGGGCUGUAGAGGAUCUCCCUAGCCACGUCCGGGUGCGCGGCGACCACCAUGCGCGUCUCGCCGAGGGAGAAGGCCAUCAGCCUCUUAGCACGGCCGCCCAGGCGCGAGGCCUCGGCGGCAAGCUUGCGGUGGGCGAGGCCGGUCAUGAGCCACAUGCUGCCGAUCAGCGGCAAGCCCCUGGGCCCCGAGACGAGGGAGCCCUUGAGGCGGCGGGUGAGCCACCACCUGCCCCAGGCCGGCCCGCCGGGGAAGCACCAGUGCAGGAGGCAGGUGAGUGCGAAGGCGGCGGCGCAGACCGCGAGGAGGCCGGCGAGGCGGCCGGGGUGAUCGCCGCCGCAUUUGGCGGCGAGCGAAAGGUACAGAAGCCAGCUGGCGGCGCAGUCGUCGGGAGUCGCCAUGGAUUCUUCGCUUGCCUUGCUUUGGUUCGGGUGUUGUUGAGGCUUUUGGGGUGGUGCGUGCGUUGAAGUUGGGGAGUCAUGGUCGGGGCGUGGCCCGGUUUUAUAGCCGCAGGAAAGGCGGCAAGGGCGACGCACACGGGCGGACGGAGGGGAGCUCCAUCGGGGGAGCGGAGGGCGGAUCGAAACCAGGGCGAUCGGUUCAAUUCAAUUUAAUUAAUGGCGUUGAUGAUGAUGGUCCGGCGCAUCAUCAGUGCCGAGAGAGAAGCAGUGCAGGCGUUUCGCUUGGCCAAAUUGAUGAUGGCGGUAACUGCGGGCGUUAGUAGUGGAGGGGCAUCCAAGGACCAAGGCUAGCGCGACGGACGUAGUAGGAGUAGUAGUACGAUAUUUGUGUGAGUUCCGUAUUUGUGUUGGCCUGGCACGCAAAGCGACCGGGACCGGGGGGAACAACGAUCGGCGGUGGAGCGGGAGCCAGCUCCGGCAUGGGGUGGCACGUGAUGGCCAUGCGGUUUUGCUCCGAUCCGGUGGGCAACGAGAAGCGGCCGGCCGAGCUAGCUAGUAGGAGUAGGCAUACACAUGAGGCGCGUGAGCUGCAAGGUCGGUUCGGUUCAGUUCAGUAGCCGUAGCUCCAUCGCCCAUGCCCACUGUGGGGUGCGCGCGGAUUGCGGCGGCACGUCGUCACGCGGGCCUCGUGCGGCGCCACCGGGCCGGGCCUCCCCGGGAGGGAGAGAGGUGACGGCACGUACGCGCGCAUCGAUCACGUUGCUCACCAACCCAUCCAUCCAUCCAUCCAUCCAUCCAGCGAUGAACUGCAGCUACUCCGUAUAGCAGCUACAGCCAGUAUAGCUGCAUCGAUUGGGCCAUACAUGCACGGAAUCGAAUCGAAUAGCCUGAGCUCAACCAUGUACGCUACGUCGUAUGUGGAGCACCGCUGGCAUACGCAUUCUGCAAACAAAUUCGUCCGCGUGCAUGGAGAGGCGAUUAACCUGCCCUCAUUACGGAUUAGGUUCAGGCAGCGGCCGUCACGUCCAAAUGAGGAAAGGGACCCCCAAAUCCCCGGCGCAUCAUGCUAAAACUAGUUUAUAGCGUCAAUGUUGGCGGUUCCAUUAAAUUAACAUAGCAUAGCUAAGACGGGGCUUCAUGGAGGGUCAGCAUAGCAUAGUACUCGUAGCUAUACUACUGGUGCUAGUAGAUACAAGCAUUAUCUUUACCGCCGCUGCAUUGGAUCACAACUUCCAGUUGCGAAAAAGAAUUAGUCAUCCCCGGGCAUGUGAGCAAUGCAAAUGGGAGAAAUAACACAGUUCGAGUGGAACAAAGUCAAGAUGUUGGUGCUCAUAUCGCUCGCUUAUAUUGACUUUACGCCCAGACAGCAGAUGGAUUCAGGCCACAUUGGUCGAUUUCAUUUUUAAACAAGGAGCCUCCUUGGUGUUUUUCAUCAAAGAAAUCGCCAACAGUUUACAAGGUGUUUUUUCUUCAAAAAAUUAUCUACUUAUCUUCAAUCAUGGCGGUACAACGAACACCAGAUAUAAUAAAAUUCACUUCAAGAUCCAUAGACCACCCAACGACGAGUACAAACAAUGAGCGAGCCGAAGACGCUGCGCCAUCAUCGCCCCUCCCUCGCCGGAGCCGGACAAAACUUUUUGUAAUAGACAGUCGAAAAGUCGUCAUGCUACGGCUACCUAGAACCAGGGCACCAGAACAACAACCGCCCACCAAUGAAGAAACGUAUAGAUCGGAAGGAUCCAACCUGAAAGCACACGAACAUAGACCGGAUCCGAGUAGAUCCACCGCCGCUGCAUUGGAUCACAACUUCCCGCUGCGAAAAAGAACAACACUGGGUAUGUGAGGAAUGCAAAUGGGUGAAACAGCAGAGUGGAUCCAACAGCUCGAUUCAUGCCACAUUGGUUGAAUUUUAUUUUUAAACAAGGAGCCUCCUUGGCGAUUUUCAUCGAAGAAACUGCGAACAGUUUACAAGUUGUCUUUUUCUUUGAAAAACUUUUGCUGGUUAAUUGAAUGUGUGAUGCAAAUUGGUUUACAAAGUGCUUAAAAACAUACUACCUCUAUAAUAUAUUUAGUUACUAAGGUAGGAGAGUGGAUUUUUUUCGCUUUCAAGCUCCAUGGCGCCCUUUAUUUUCAAACAUUCAAAAAUCAUUUGUUUAAGUUUUAAAAAAAAUAAAAGAGUUAAGAAAUUCUGAAAAAUACACAAGUGGUUAUAGAUGUAUAAUAGAUUUGUGUGAAAUUCCAGCACGAAAUACUUCUUUAUGUGGCAUGUACACAAAAAAAAAUCAUGUGGUUUUAGUGAAUAGUACAUGUGCUAGAAAAUACGUGAUUUUGUCAUUUUUCUGUACCUCACGUAAAGAAAGGUAUUUCAUCAUGAAACUUUGCAGACGAGUAGUAUACAUCUAUAUGUAUAUGUGUAACUUUUUUCCAGCAUUUUCUGAAACUGAAACAAUUAUUUUAAAGUUUUCAAAUAAAGAGCUUCAUGGAGCUCGAGCUCCAUUAGGUAUUUCUGCAGAGGCAGUACAAAACAAAGGAAAAAGGAGUAAGCAAGGAGGGGUAACUCACUCCACCCUCUUGACGAGACCCUCUGGCCCAUCCAAGCAACCUAGACGACACUUUUCUACUUAUUACUGCCUUUGUUUCAAAAUAUAAGGUGUAUUAGUUUUUUUUAAAUCAAACAUUUGCAUGUUUGACCAAGUUUUUAGAAAAAAAUCAAUAUCUACAAUACAAAAUUUGUAUCAUUAGAUCCAUUUUGGAAAUUAUUUUAAUAUUUUAUUUGUUCUGUAUUGUAGAUGUCUAUAUUUUAUUCUAUAAUAAUGGUUAAAUAUAUAUGUUUAAUUUACACAAAAACUAAUGCACCUUAUAUUCUGGAACGGAGGGAGUAUAACAUAAGCACAUGAAGCUAAAAUACACAUAAAAAGCUCAUAAACAAUUCUCUACAAAAGCUCAAGGCACCUCAAAAAAGCCAAGCAAUAUUAGAUGAAUUAGCGACAACAUCAAUUCACCGUGAUCACGAGCACCGUAGAAUUCCUGCCAUGUCUCCUUGCGAAGUUCUGCUGAAGCAACUUCUUAACCAUCUACACUCCUUCAAUUCUUUCUACCUAACGACUUUUCUCCAAGACACUCCACUAGCUUCACUUAACAAAUAGGAUGUCAAUGGGUCCGGUAUGGGACAAUUACAACAAUGUCAUACCCAUACCCUACAUGCUCAUAGGAAUCAAUGACCCUGUUUGUUUCAGUUUCAGUUGGCUUUGGAUCACCUAUGAAUUCGCUUCACGCAAAGCUGAAUUAGGUUUGCCAUUGAAUUACACCUGGACAUGCUUCAAGCAAUUGCCCUAAAAAUGGUGUGAAUCCAUAUUCAGUUUCAUUGGCAAAGCUGAUUCCAAAUGGUUGUUAUUCUAGCUUCUGAUUUUUUUUUCUACAAGAAUCUGGUGCCUAAAGUUAAAACAAAUAGGGCCAAUGUAUGCCCAUCAUACCCUAGCCCACGGGUACAAAACCUUGUUUGUACCCAUACCCGAUGGGUAUCAAUGCCCGAUGGGUACCCAACAGCAAGCUCAACACACUUGAAGGAAUAUAUAUCAUCCGAUAGUAUUUUUAAGAAAUGCAAAAAUUGAACUCGUUUUAUAACAUGAUCAAACAAAAAAGAUUUCAAUAUUUCAGAGUAGAAGACUUCAGUUGUUUAAACAAAGGGUUUGUUGUACAUUCACGCAUCAUACAGUUAAAGUGUAUGACUUAACUUAAUAGUCUAGAAACUCAAACAAUAGUUUGGCCACGCAUAUUAGCUUGUCUGAUUGGGCUCCGCAUACUGUGGGCAAAGAGUUAUACUACCUCUAUCUAGGUGUGCAGAGUGCCGCCCGAUCCGCCCCGCACUAGAUUUACCGUAGUUAUUAGUUCUCCCUUUAGAUUUAGUUCAAUUUGAACUAACCCUCUAUUGAUCCAGGACUAUGUGGGAUGUCCGCCCUACCAUAUACCCUACCCACGAUUAGUCGGGUAGGAUUCGGACGGCUGCCUAUGAGCACAAAUUGACAUAUCUCUUUGGCCUUGUAGCUACCAGGGUGCUUUCUUUGAUCUGGCCGGAGAAGGCCGUGCAAUUAUUUCCCUUUGUAUACCAUACACACUCCAGUGUACGUACGUACGUACCACAGGUCGCAGUCAUGUCCGUGCUGCGUGCUUGCCUGGGCCUACGCCUUAACGGAGUACUACUAUCAAAUUGAUGUCAGUCCCUUUUCUAAAAAAAUCAAAUUGAUGUCAGUACAGGCAUCGGUGCGUAAGUAAAUCGUUAGUCAAGCCAGGCGCGCAGCUGUCAGCACGCGGGUAGAGCCAUUGCUGCAAGAUCGCAGCCAAAUUGCCCGCCGUCGCUGUCCCGUCCUAGUGUGGCGAGAUUUGAACUCCGCGCUUAAAUAUUCGAUGUCCCCCCAGACAUCACCGUCACGUAUAUGUAGUUUGCACUUGAAAUCGAAUCCCCGAGAUGGACGUGUUUGUUGCGCCCGCCCGUUCUCACCGGUCGAUCACGUAAACGUAAGGGUGAUGAGGCCGUGAGGUAAGGGCAACUCCGACGCGCGACCGCAAAUAGUCCGGCCGCGUUCGUUCGGGGAUGAAUAGACAGAAAACGCGGCCUAACGCGCAGGAGCAAACGGACAAAUGUCCGUUUUCGUUCCGCUUUUUACCCAUUCCUAGCCUAAAUUUCGGCCGGGCUCACGUCGAAAUAGACAUCGCACGGAUGGGCGGGACGCACGCCCUUGUCCUUUCCUGCCCCGCCCAUCUGGGACACACCGGGCCCACUUUCCCUCUAAUUCGCCCAAAACCCUCCAGCGCCCUCCUCCCCUCGCUCUUCUAGGGCCGGUGCCCCAACGAAUCUAGGCGACCCGGCCACGGCCGCGGGCGGAGCUUAGGCCGAUGGAGCUUACCAAGCUCGACGCCGAAUCGACCAAGAGGAGGAACCAGCGGACAAAGGUGGCAGAGAAGAGGGCUGUUGCCGGCUACGCCGCCGAGGUGGCCGUGAUGCGUGUCGUGCAACACCAGGCUAAUGUCGACGAUAAGGAGUCCAUCGCCGCCAAGGUGCACGCCCUCCUCAUGUUACGGUUGUGCUGACCCCCGGCGGUCAUUCUCUCAGUCGCUCCCAUAGCUGCGGCUAGCGCAGGCUUGUUGGUCAUCCGUCUACAGUCGUACAGGUCCCCGAGCUCGUCAUCACACCUGAGAGGCCCGGGUAUCAUGCGCCUCCGCUGCAUGGCCAUGGCCAGACCCGGUUUUCCACAUUGCUGGACGACAGCGUGGUCGUGCCACCCACCCCCGUCAUCUCCACUGUCGGUGUCAUCGACCUCAAUGUUACGCCCGGGGACAGUGGCGCUGGCCAGCCAUCCGACGAGACGCAAAGGAAGCAUCCCCGGUCGAUUCCUACGGCCAACCUUGCCGGUGCCUGAAAGUUGUUCGAUGAAAUGCCACUGCCGACGCCGACAGUCGACGACCCUGACUACGUCGCGUUCAUGGAGACUGUCAUCUUCGAGGGUCAUGAUGAGGCCUUCAACAUCGACGACCAAGGCCAUGCUUUCGGUCCCGAGGCAACCCAGAGCCAGGACGACCGCGGCCAGUAUGGUGAUGACUUAUUCGGUGGCCUUGAUGAAGAUGAGAUCGAUGACCAUGGCAACUCAUGGCAUGAAGAUGAUGACUUGUAUUGCGAAGAUGAGGAAGAAGAGGUUGACAUUGCGGAGGAGCCAUUGGUGUUUAUCGAUGAGCUCACCCAAAGGGCCGACGCACAAAAGAGGGGGCAAAGCCUUCACACGGGAUCAUACACCCAAGAGGAGGAAACCUUGAUUUGCGGGAGCUGGGUGGAGAUAGGCCAAGAUUCCAUGAAGGGUGCCGAGCAAAAAGGAUUGGACGAGAGUUCACAAAACCUUUCAUGAGCGAAGGAAGUUUGCCCCUACCAAUUUGCGAAGCACUCGCAGCAUCAACUCAAUCCAAAAGAGAAGGGGGUUCAUUCAACAAGAGUGCAACAAGUAUUGUGCCGCGCUUGAGAGCAUCCAAGCCCGUCCCUUGAGUGGCCUAGGCGUUGGUGACUUGGUAUGAACCACUCGUAUUUUUCAUUGCAUGCAUUGUUUAUGUUUUCAUGCAUCUUGCGUUAUUCGCUAUUACAUUUGCGGCAUCAUCUUUGAUUGUGUAGGCAUUCCAAUCUUGGAAGCCUUCAAUACCCGCCACAAGAACAUGCCAUUUACUCUCACACAUUGUUGGGUGCUCAUCAAAGAAUAUCCCAAGUUCAAGGACCAAUAUGCCGCUCAUAGGAAGAAACGGGGGAAGGCGGUCGUGGCUGAGGAGGGAUACUUGCUUAAGAGGCCGAGGGGCAAGACCAACUUGAAGGCAGACAAGAAGCAUGAUGUGUCAUCUAUGGCCUUGCAAGCAACUUUGGAAGGCAUGAUGAGUCAAAAAGAAGUGAGGGAGGAGAGGAGGAGCAAAGGAAAGGAGGAGCAAAUGAAGAUAUACAUAGAGCUCCAAACCAAGAAGCUUGACAUAGAGGAGGUCGCGAAGAGGAGGAAGCUUGACAUUGAGGUGGCCGUUGAAGCUCGCGAUCAAGGCCACCAAUGUCGAAACCAAAGCAAAAGAGGUGGCGCUCACCAUCAUGAGCGUCGACAAGACCAACAUGUUACCAGAGAGGAAGGCUUGGUUCGCGAACCGGCAGAAGGAGAUGUUCGCCCGAGACGGCCUGAACUAGGAGAGACCUCGGCCGUGGAUAAUGGUCAUUCAUUUGGAAGGCCAGCUAGUGUGUCAGGCACGGGCUUUGUUGCCGGCGCCUAAAAUUUCUUAAUUUGAAGGCUGGCUAGUGUGUCGGGCGCUGGCUUUGUUUCAUGCAUCAUAAACUUGUUCAUUUUGAAGGCUGACUAGUGUGCCGGUCGCUGGCUUUGUUGCCGGCAUCAAACUAGGGGUGACCAUUCUGCAGGUCGCUGGCUUUGUUGCCGGCCGGCAUGAGCCAUGGCUGCUGGUGUCAACUAUGCCUGCUGGCAUUUGUAGCUACAUCUUUUUGGUGUUUGAAAAAUAUGCAUGCAGCCGGACAAGAUACGACCAAAGAUGCGGCCGCGCGUUAGGCGCAUGGCUGACACAUCCACAAAUCCGGGCGGACGUAGCCCCAUUGCCACCGCCAAACGAACGAAAUCCGGAUAAAGCUGGAGUUGCCCUAAGGCCAACUCCAAUGGGCUACCCCAUUUUAUCUACUCGCGUCAUCCAUUUAGAUAUCAAAAUGGACAUGAUCGUCAACCCAACAAGAGAGAGCAAACCAAAAAACGUUUGCCUCGUGUCCAUUCUGACCCAAACUGGGUGCAUUAUUGGGCCUGCUUUGCAUCCAUACAGACACUGAGUGAACCCGUACGUGUUGGAUCGUGGUCUGCCUUCGACCCCCAUGUCAUCCCCCAACCACUCUCCAUCGGCCCCAAUAAAUCACACGGGUGCACAUGGCCCACGACGCGUCCUUUUUAAUGGCAAAUCCAUGGACCGACCAACCCACUUCCUAGCCGCGUCCACACACUUCCACUCCCCUGCCCACUCCUGCCCCGACCUGCAAACCCUAGCACCGCUCAGCUUGCCCAUCCUCGCUCCUCACCAGCCUCCGGAAUGGGAAUGUGGAAAUGUGUGCCAGGCAAGAAGGCGAAGCAUGACCACGAGGCAGGGUCGUCCUCCGCGUCGUCGGGCAGCGUCGUCGUGUACUCCACCUUGCCACCCGCAUUCCCCAUCUCUCCUCCGGCAGCCCUCCAUGAUUCCGAUCAUACGUGAAGGUGGAGAUAUGCCGGCACUACUGGAAGACCGGCACCCCGCUGCCGUGGUCCGAUGCCCACCUCCCCAAUGGGUGGCAGCUAAGACAGGAUCACGUGUUGAUCCCGACUGUCUUAGCGACCAGCUGCCUGCCUCAUGGAGAUCAACUGAUGGCGCAUUCACAUCCCGCACCACCUCCUCACCGACCCAUGGUACGACGUGUCCUCGCGGCUCUGGGAUGCUUGGUUCCAGGACGAGCACGACAUGCGCCGACAAACGUUCUUUGCCGGUCGUGCCCGUAGUCCAUCCCUGCCACCACCACCACCUCCCACCAUGACCACCGAAGAGGAGGAGCGGCUGGUGCAGGCUGUGAUGGAGGACUUCGAGAGGGAGUUCAAGCACAAGCAUGAGGAGGAGUGGGAGGGAUUGGAGGAUAUGACAACGUUGUCGGCCGCCAACGAUUGCUACGUCUCCAAGCUCGACGUGAAGCAGGAGGUGAAUGAGGGGGUGAUGGAGGAUCGUACCUCCACCUCGAAGUGGAACCCGGCCUUGUACGGGUAGUCGUGGUCGUAGACGACCACGGUGCCAUGCAGCCCGCCCUCACCAUCACCGGCAGCGCCGGCGGCCUAGUGGGCGCCAUGGUCACUACCUCCGCCACCUCCGCCACAACCUGCAUCGCAAUGGCAGCGAUAGGAGGCGCCCUCUGGCCGCCAGCGUCCACGGCGGCGGGCAAAUAUUCUUUUUUCUUUCUAUUUUUAAAUUAAAUUGUAAUAUGCAGCUGUGACUUUUAUGGACUUUCUAAUAAGUUUAUCGUAAUAUAUGUCCGUUUUUAAUUAUUUUGCAAUGCCUUUUUUAAUCCAGACCAAACAUAUGUUUUAAGAUGCGGCGGCUGGUUGGGCGCACUUGUGGGCAGAUGGUUAAAACCAGACACGUCUGUUUUGCCAACGCAAACGGACGUAAGCCGAACAAAAGAACCAUUCGUUGGUCUCGACAUAGUUGGCCUAAGAGCAUCUACAGCCACUGACGGCAAAUUCGACCCCUCAAACGCCCGCAGACGCAUCAGGGCCAUGUCUGCGGACAGUGACCCGUCACGCCUUAAAUUUGCUCCUCUGCAUCCGGAUACCUCAUAUUACAAAUCUUAAAUCCAUACAAAAACAUGCAAAGGAUAAAUCCACGUACUACGUAGAUCAACUACUCUAAUCCUCAUCGGAGAUGUUCACGAUCUCCGUGCCGGGCUCCGGGUUAAUGGGCGGCAGCCGCAGCUCCGACUCCUACGGCUCCUCCGGCUGCUCUGCCUCGGCCUCCGCCUCCAUCUUCGCUUCCACUUCAUCGAAGAGCGCGUCGGUCGCCGAGAGUUCUUGCCAGAUGAACUGUCGGUUGGCCUCAACAUAGGCCUCAUCCUGGAUGGAGUCCAGGAUGGCCUGUUGCUCCACCAUCUCGGCCACUUGGGUGACUGCGAACUCCGCCUUCACGUCCUCCAUGUUGAAGCCUAGAGCCGGCGACUCCUCCUCCUCCGUCUGCUCCGCCUUGCCCUCCUCCGAAUCCGCCACCUCCAUCGGAUCCGGCUGUUGCUCCUCUUCUCCUCAUCCUUCGCUUGCUCCUCCUCCCCCUCCUCCGGUUUCGCCGAGUUCGAAGGCAGGCCGUUAGCGAUGCGAGUCGCCUCGCCCGGAUCUCCUACUUUAUCUGGAACUCCGGUGCGAGCAUAACAUACAUGGUUAUCUUUUGCCAAACCAUGGCGAAGCCGGAGAGCGUGGGAAGAGUGGCAGAGCGGGAGAGAGGUGGAUGGGCUCGGGCUGGCGGCGCAGAGAGGGAAGAGAUGGAUGUGGUUAGGGUUGGCGGACACGUGCCUGCUUACAUAGCCGGAAUUGGCCUCGAGUGGCGAGCCGGAGCGGCACCACGCGACGUUCACACCCCUUACGUAAGGAGACAUCUGGCGAACCGAUGGGUUUUCGGAAGAUUCCAUGUGGGACCCCAUCACCAGUCCAACAUGACGGACGCAUAUCCGCCUCAUAUUUGGAUUGAAUACGAGAGAUGUCGGUCAGUCAAGAUGCUUGAGGCCCGCUUAAGAUGUUUGACUAAAUCGAAUUUUCGUGACCGCAGCCCGGCGUUUGAACCGGGUUUGGGGCGGCUGUAGAUGCUAUGAGGCCAGGCGGGCCGGCGUGGAUGAGCCGAGCGGCCAGGCAGAGCAGGGCCCGUUGGUUCUAGAGCAGUUCUGCCAGCGAGGGCAUCCGAGCGUGCCAGGAGCGAGCACUGCAGCGCACUGUUGGCGUCUGCCGUCUGGCCGGACAAUUCGACGGCGACGUUGCCCCGGCGUCGACCCGUCGGCUCAGGUUCAGGUGCGACAUGAGAAUUGCACAGCAAGGUGGGCCCCGAAGUCAGCAGACUGUGUGGUUCUUUUUCGCCGAUGUGAUGUGUUGUGGGCGCAGCAGCCACAGAGCUUUAACCUCCAACAAGUAUAGAGUACGUACUCUAGUACUACCACUCCUACUUCUCUGCAUAUCAGGACAAUACUCUUGGUACCAUGGUAGUACUAUGCCACGUAGUAGUGGCAUACUCCUACUACAGUUUUACAGCUAGAUAGGUUUGGCCUGCCUGGUCGAUCGAUGAACGCAACCCAGCGCUGUGUCAUGGUGACUUCGCGUUUUCGUCUCCUGUUACUGAAAAGUUGGCCAGGUAAGGUCAGGUCAAGUCCGCCGUUGCCGUUGUCGUGUGCCGGACCAUGGUCGGGGCCGGUAGACUCGGAAAAACGGCGGGUUGAUUGCGCCGGAAAGGUUGGCGCACCGACCGGACAGCCGAGGUCAGCCGCACGAUCCGGACGGUGGACGGCUCGAUUGUAGUGAGCCGAAACGGCUUGGAAUCUGAUUCCGCAACUUCAACGACCACUGCGCCUCGUGCGUUUUUAGAGAAAAGGCCAGAGCCCGACUUUAUAAAUAAAGCCACCAGACAGAAUCAUAACCAUUCACAACAAGCAUCCACACAAAACACGCAGAGUAUCAACCGGACCUCACAUGCUAAAGUAGAACGCACAUGGCUCCCAGGCCAGUACACGGCACGCAGGUCGGAGAGACACAAGACAACAACAUCAGGGCCAACAACUCCUAACUGCCGGCUUGAACUGGAGAAAGGGAGAUAGCAAAAGCUCGGAUCUUGGAUAUCAUCAUAUCGAGCGCAUCCCUGUCCUCCUCCUUAAUCAAUAAUCUCCACUGCUGCAAGAAUAUGCAAGUUUUAAAUAAGCAAUCAGCAGGAAAAACAAGUUCAAUAGUAAAUUUGUUUCUUGUCGUCCAAAGAGUCCAGCACAUCGCUGCAAAGCCCACCCAAAACAUUCUCCUCUGGGCCCCAACCAGGUUGUUGGCCAAGAGUCGAAGGUCUGAGAAGGAGGACGGUCUCCAGGACACAUUCAUCCAAGAUCUGACACAACACCAGAAUAGUUUAGCCAGUACACAAUUAAAGAAGAUAUGCAUCGUGUCUUCUCUUAACCCACAGAGGGCGCAACGGUCAGAACCAAAGCCAUUAUGUUUGCGGAUCUGGUCACCAGCCGGCACCCGCCCGCGAGAAGCUUGCCAGAGGAAAAUCUUGAUCUUAGGAGGGAUACGAGCCCUCCAGAUCCACUUUAAUUUGGAAGUGGUGGUGCCCGAGAUCAGCUUACCAUAUAACGAUUUCACAGAAAAACGACCAGAAGGGGAGUGGGGCCACACCACCGAGUCCUCCUCCUUCGAGAGCACAGGGAAGAAGGCAACAAGGCGCUGCCAGUCAACCAACUUUUCAGGAGAAAGAGAGCGACGAAGACGCAGAUCCCAAUUAUUGGCAGAGAGCUCAAAGAUUGAGAUCUCGGGGUCAGGACAAUAAGAAAAAAGAACAGGAAAAGAGUUUGCCAACGUAGUCGAACCACACCACCAAUCAAGACAAAAUCUAGUGGAUCUGCCGUUGUGAACAAGAAACUUGACGAGGCCUUGGAAAAUUGGCCUGAGUUUAACAAGGUCUUUCCAGAACUGAGAAGCCCCCGAGGCGCGAGCAAACAUAGGGCUAGAAGAAGGGAGAUACUUAGCUUUGAGGAUGUUGAACCAAAGAGGUUUAUCUGUGGUCAUGAUCUUCCACCACCAUUUGAUGAUCAAGCAUUUGUUUAUGACAAGAGUAUUAAUAAUGCCCAGCCCCCCAAGGCUUUUUGGUCCGCAAAUAAUGUCCCAUUUGAUCAUGCGAUAUUUGCGUCUGUUGUCAGCCGCGCUCUAGUAAAAGGCACCUCUAGGUUUGUCAAACCCAGCGUGAGUGCCCAUCGUAAGUAGAUAAAAUCCCAUAAGGAACAUUGGGAGGGAAGUAAGGCAGACAUUAAUCAAGGCAACUUUACCAGCCUGGGUAUUAUAUCUACCCCUCCAGGGCAUGAAACGAUUGCCAACUUUGGCCACCGCAGGAGCAAAGUCUUUAGACAAUAGUUUGUCGGAGGUUAUAGGAAGACCCAGAUACUUAAGAGGGAAGGAGCCAAGAGAGAAAUUCAGUAUGCGGGCAACAUGCAGCGCCUCGAUUUCUGGGACCCCAGUGACAAUGACUUCGCUUUUGGAGAAGUUGAUUUUCAGACCAGAGAUAGCCUCGAAGCAAAGAAGAAGAAAUUCGAGGUGGGCAAGGCAGUGAUUAGUAAGUUCCACCAUAAUAAUUGUGUCAUCAGCAUAAUGAAGGUGGGUAAUCCCUUGUGGAAUAAGAUGAGAGCCAACAGGAGUAAUGUGGCCAGCCCCCGCAGCCCUAGACAGAAUAUUAGAAAGGGCGUCCGCCACAAAAUUGAACGGGAUGGGAGAGGCCGGGUCACCUUACCUCAGGCCUCUAGAGUUCUUAAAAAAAUUGCUAACUUUCCCAUUAACAGAAAUAGCAGUAUGGCCACCCACGACCAACUGCAUGAUUCAAUGAACCACACCAGCGUCAAAGCCUUUAGCCAACAAAACUUGUCUUAAGAAGCCCCAAUUCACAAAGUCAUAGGCUUUCUCAAAAUCCAGCUUAAGAAUAACAACCUUGCUGCCUGAUUUGUGAAUAUCAUGAACGAUCUCAUGUAAACAGAGGACCCCAUCAAGGAUAAAACGCCCCUUGACAAAGGCAGAUUGGGUUGCAGAGAGGGUACGAUGAGCCACAGAAGUAAGACGCGUAGCCAAGCAUUUGGCGGGGAAUUUGGCAAAGUUAUUGAUAAGCGCAAUAGGCAUAAACUGGGAGAUGAGCUCCGCACCCUUAAUCUUAGGAAUGAGAGAGAUAACCGCAUACUUGAGCCUAGAAAUGUCCACCAUCCCCAAACAGAACCCUUGAAUAACCGCACAAAUAAGAUUCUUGAGUUGAGGCUAGAAAGUUUUGAAGAAAGGAAUAGAGAAGGCAUCUAGGCCAGAUGCAGAAUUAGAAUUAUCUUUGUUAAUAGAGAUAAAAAUCUCCUCUUCAGAGAAAGGAACCAUAAGAGCAAGGUUUUCAUCCUGGGACACCCAGUCCCCUUGGUUCCAAAAGGAAGAAGAUAUUCUGAGCCCCAGAUCAGGUUUGGCAGAGAGAAGGGAGGAGAAGAAAUCAACUAUGUGAUUCAUGAUGAUGCCUUGGUCUGAAACCCUGACCCCAUCGAUCAUCAAGCUUUCAAUCAUACAUCUAUGCCGCCUCCCGUUGGCAACGGCAAAAAAAUAAGCAGUGGGGGAAUCUCCUUUAAGCAUCCAGUUGAUCGUGCCCCUCUGACGCCAAUAUAAUUCCGCAAGACAAUGCAGAUGCACCAGAGAUUGCUCAAGGGAAAAGCGCAAGGCCCAUUCAGAAUCAUACAAGCUAGAAGAAUCAGCCCGAGAGUCUAAAGGAUCAAUCUGAGCCACGAGGAGGGCUUUAUCUCUUCGUUCUUGCGCCGUGUCAUUACGAGACCAGCCACGUAGAAACUUGCAUAGAGAAUACGAGCAAUGGUGCCAGUCAUCCAUGGAGCCGAAGGAGCAACGAGCAAUCAAGAGAAUAUCAGAAAUUCUAGAACCGAGGAGGUCACGAAAGCCUUCGAUAAGGAGCCAAGAAGCAUCAAAUUGGAACCGAAGAGGAGUGGAAGCGCAGUGAAGCCCCGCAUCAAGAAUGAGUGGAGCAUGGUCCGAGCCUACGCUGGCCUUUGUUUUGAGAGUGGUAAGCGGGAAAAGGGAGUCCCAACUCAGGCGGACAAAAACACGAUCCAAGACAGAGCGAAUAGGAGAGACCUUAUGAUUAUUCCAAGUAUACCUAGAUCCCACCCUCGGAAUCUCACGAAGAGCGCAAGCACUAAUAAAAUCGUUAAAAGCAUCAGCCAGCGCCUAGGAAAAGUUAUUGGUGUUCUUAUCGGUCUGAUAGCGCAGUAAGUUGAAAUCACCACCAAUCAGGAGGGGAAGGGUGCAGGAUUCGACCUUAUUAGAGAUUUCGUCCAGAAAAAAGGGGGAAAGGGAAUGGUCCGCAGGGCCGUAAACCACCAUUACUUCCCAGAGAGUAUUGAGUUGGUGGUGGAACACAACAGAACUAGCCCAAAAAAUACCAUGGUUGAAGGUUACAAAGUCAAAAACAUCA